rnacentral:rRNA from 1 species
UACGGGGGGGCAAGCGUUGUUCGGAAUUACUGGGCGUAAAGGGCGCGUAGGCGGUUCGCUAAGUUGGAUGUGAAAACUCUGGGCUCAACCCAGAGCCUGCAUCCAAAACUGGCGGGCUAGAGUUCUGGAGGGGUAGCGGAAUUCCUGGUGUAGCGGUGAAAUGCGUAGAUAUCAGGAGGAACACCGGUGGCGAAGGCGGCUACCUGGACAGAAACUGACGCUGAGGCGCGAAAGCUAGGGGAGCAAACAGG